rnacentral:rRNA from 1 species
CCUACGGGAGGCAGCAGUCGAGAAUCAUUCACAAUGGGGGAAACCCUGAUGGUGCGACGCCGCGUGGGGGAAUGAAGGUCUUCGGAUUGUAAACCCCUGUCAUGUGGGAGCAAAUUAAAAAGAUAGUACCACAAGAGGAAGAGACGGCUAACUCUGUGCCAGCAGCCGCGGUAAUACAGAGGGCUCAAGCGUUGUUCGUAAUCACUGGGCGUAAGGCGUGCGUAGGCUGUUUCGUAAGUCGUGUGUGAAAGGCGCGGGCUCAACCCGCGGACGGCACAUGAUACUGCGAGACUAGAGUAAUGGAGGGGGAACCGGAAUUCUCGGUGUAGCAGUGAAAUGCGUAGAUAUCGAGAGGAACACUCGUGGCGAAGGCGGGUUCCUGGACAUUAACUGACGCUGAGGCACGAAGGCCAGGGGAGCGAAAGGGAUUAGAUACCCUUGUAGUC